rnacentral:misc_RNA from 1 species
UUGACUAGUUUAUUUGUUUCUCAGACGUCACGGUUGACAAUAGUUUUGGGGUGUCCCCCCGACGAGUCCCCCACAGGGCCGGCAGGCCCUGGAGAUCGACCCCGCCGAGGCAACGAAAAAAUGGUAGGUACACAAAGGGUGGGAGUAAGGGCCCAGAGGACCCGGUACUCGGUAAUGAUCCUUCCGCAGGUUCACCUACGGAAA